UCCGUUUGUGUUGCCCAUCACUGAUGGUUUACUGAAACGCCUAAAGAUUCAACUCGCACUGGAGGCAACGUACGAUAUGGUUCUACUGGAGAGAAAACACUCUCCGUCUGCACUGCGGCUGGAAGGAAACCGCUAUGAUGUGAUCACUGUAGAUGAAAACACUGCCAUCCUCAUCCAGGAGCUGAGCGAGUUGGAUAUGAAGAUUGGAAACGGGUCUGAGCUUGUCGUCAUGAGACUCUCAGCUCUGUCGUUACAGUUCAGCCGCUGCUGGCUCAUUCUGCACUGCACCGAAAACC